rnacentral:rRNA from 1 species
UACGUAGGGGCCGAGCGUUGUCCGGAGUUAUUGGGCGUAAAGCGCGCGCAGGCGGCUUGACGCGCCCGACGUGAAAGCCCCGGCUUAACCGGGAGGGUCGUCGGUACGGUCAGGCUUGAGGGCGGGAGAGGUGUGGAAUUCCCGGUGUAGUGGUGAAAUGCGUAGAGAUCGGGAGGAACACCUGUGGCGAAGGCGGCCACCUGGGCCGACCCUGACGCUGAGGCGCGAAAGCGUGGAGCGAACGAGGAU